rnacentral:snRNA from 1 species
CAGAUCUUGAGCCACAUCUCUAU